rnacentral:rRNA from 1 species
CCUACGGGAGGCUGCAGUGAGGAAUAUUGGUCAAUGGCCGCAGGGCUGAACCAGCCAAGUCGCGUGAGGGAUGACGGUCCUAUGGAUUGUAAACCUCUUUUGUCAGGGAGCAAAGGGCGCCACGUGUGGCGUUUUGCGAGUACCUGAAGAAAAAGCAUCGGCUAACUCCGUUACAGCAGCCGCGGUAAUACGGAGGAUGCGAGCGUUAUCCGGAUUUAUUGGGUUUAAAGGGUGCGCAGGCGGAAUGUCAAGUCAGCGGUAAAAUUUCGGGGCUCAACCCCGUCGUGCCGUUGAAACUGGCGGUCUUGAGUGAGCGAGAAGUAUGCGGAAUGCGUGGUGUAGCGGUGAAAUGCAUAGAUAUCACGCAGAACUCCGAUUGCGAAGGCAGCAUACCGGCGCUCAACUGACGCUCAUGCACGAAAGCGUGGGUAUCGAACAGGAUUAGAUACCCGAGUAGUC